AAGUCGUAACAAGGUUUCCGUAGGUGAACCUGCGGAGGGAUCAUUCACAUGAUCAUAAUCUUAAACAAUUCUGUGAACUUUUUUUUUUAAACCCAUCUUUUUUUCUAUUGUAACAAAUAGAAAAAAUUACAUUCGAUCGUACAUUAGAUAGCUGGUUUUACUUUUAAUCGAGUAAUUUCUACAGCUGAUUGAAAUAUAUCUAAACAAUAUAUUUGAAUCAAGACAAACAAACAUAGAAUUUAACAACUCUAUGCCCUGGAUAUCUUGGUUCUC
rnacentral:misc_RNA from 1 species